rnacentral:rRNA from 1 species
AUGGAGCUGUUCCAGCACGGCCAGCACGUGCGGCUGCGGAGCCGCGCGCUGGGCACGUACCUGCACGCCGACGAUGACGGGCAGGGCGCCUCCCUCCACCACCGCCGGGCGUCGAUGAACGCGGCGUGGGCGGUGCACGUGCACCAUCCCCCACGCGCGCAGGUGCCGUACCUGCUCCUCCACAGCGCCGCCUACGGCCUGUACCUCGCCGCCACGGACGGGCCGGCGCCGGUGGGCCUCCGCGGGUUCCGCGUCGAGCUGCGCAGCUACGACCAUCGCGAGGCGGACGCGGUAUGCUGGACGGCCAGCCGGACGGGGUCCGGGGACGACGUCCGGCUCCAGCACUUCAACCUCGGCUGCCUCCGCGCCAACGGCAAGUACCUCCCCUGGAACAACGGCGCCAGCAUCGGCCACAUCGACGGCGCCAGCACGAUGAUGCACUGGGUCGUGGAGCCCAUCCCCGCCCGGGAGACCAUGCCUCCCCUCCCACGUUCGACCGGGCUUACCCUCCCCCGGGCCGUGCUGCCGUCGCGGCAGAUCGUGUACGUGUGGACGGACAACCACGGGGACCUCAUCACCAGCGGCUGGCACACGUUCAGGGGGAGAUCCGUGUUCCACCUGAGGAAGGAGCUGGCCAGGCUGCUCAACGCCGUCCAAGUCUUGGGCGUCGGCGACCUCGUCUUGUGCCUCCCCACACGUGAUGGCCGGCUUUUCCCACUCCUCGUCGACCUGCCCAACAACCGCCAGCCCCUCCACGUCGUCGUCGUCAUCGCCGGGACGCCUCUUCACGCGCGGCUGCGGUACGCGGAUGUUGAUGCAGAGUAG